UAGUUGCUAUACCAAGAGCACCAAAUGGUGAUGUUAACAGAUUAGAACAAAUAAAAAACAUCAGGUACCCUGUAAAGAAUAGUGGACACAGACAAAGUAGUUCCCCCCCUCGGGAAGCUUACAUUCAUCCCAUGAGGAUACAACAUUGACCCAGAUAAAUUUAUUAAGAAGCAACUUGAGGAGGCAAAGGACACAAGCACCCUUGGCCAACAGGGAAGGGAGAUUUGAUAGAAGAGGUGAGACCUGAGAUGAGCCUUGAAGGAAAAUGAGAGUAGACCAGGAACCGAGAGCCUUAGGGAACAGGAAGUACCCAGAAGCAUGGGCAAACUGGAGAAAGAGCUUUCUAAAUCCAGCCAGAUCCUGUAUAUCUCGGGCUGUCAGGAACCCUCUUCCUUAGAGCACAUUCAGACAGAACAGUUUUGCAUUAAUUUAGGGCUAAUUGUCAGGUAAUGAAUUCGAUUUGGCUCACCAUAUUGAAAUCCCUUCUGCUCCCAGCUGAACACCAGUAAAUCAUUUGCAUCACAAAUCUCCUCUUUUCUGAAUGCUCAGCUUGCCUGGGCUGUUGCUCAGUCCUUCUCCUGUUCUCUGGUCUUUGAAAUCAGUUGAAAAAUCACGUUUUCUUUUUAAAGGGGGCAAUGUGGAGGCACAUCAGUUAAAGUCAGUCUUGCAGAAUUGGCUCUGAAAGUUCUGGAAAAUCCAAUUCAAAUUUUGCCCUGGACCACUCCUGCUGAGCUGUUUGAGAAUGGAUAGUGUUGGAGACCAUGAAGGAUACACCAUCUUGAAAAAAUCCAUCAGUAUGCGGUUUGAGAUCCUUAAGAAAUCUGGUGUAUGGGAAUAUAGCAGAGAGUCAUUGAAGUCCACCAGCAAGACAAAAGUCAGGAUGAGUGGUGUGGCUUGGGUUGCAUUAGAUGACCUUGGUUCCACAGCCUGUUUCAGCCACCUUGAUGUGUGUAGGAACAAACUGUUCUCAUCCACCCAUUCCAUCAGGGAGAGACCCAGAGAAGGUGACUCUCCCAUGUUCUGGAGUUUGCUGCAACAGCACUACGUUACCUAUAAACAGGAGCAUGUUGAGGACCUCAAGGAAAUCCCACUUCAAUUUUGAUGUUACUCUGCACAUUCUACAUGAUGGAAAAUAUCUUGGCAUCAGACAGUUGUAAAGGAGAGAAUUUACAAGCCAAGCCAAGCAUGCAACACAAAGUAAAGGACCUCAGCUAUCAAUCAAAAAAUAUUCCAAGUGGAAUGUUCCCAGGAAAGGCAGUUGGAGAGCCAAGCCAAGCUGAAGGGGUAAGAAGCUCUGAACAGGACCCCUGUUACCUUCUGUCCUAGGCUGAGGGAUUGGUGUCGCUUUUGGGGAGCUGGUGGCUGAGUGUGGUGAAGAAGAUUUUGGUGUCUCUGAGACUUGAGUUUGAAGGAAGAAGAAAGAAGAUUAAACAGUUGUCCUCCCAUAUCCCUGAGAGACUUUUGUGUCACAGUUGUAACAGGACUGACAUUUCCCAAAAUCCUCCUAACCCUAAUUAUAGACUAGGGAUAACCCCAUCCCUCUCUCCUCACCUUCCAUCCUUGUUCUGUCUUUCCCAAUAAACCCCCUAACUUGAGAAAGGAAAGAGAAAAG
ensembl:lncRNA